UGUGUGACAGAGAGAUAGGAAGGCAGAAAUAGGUGUCUUGCUAUAGAGGAGGUACAUGGUUAUCCAGUGAGAGAGAGUAACCAAGAAUGAGAGCAGAAAUAGGUGUGCUGCUGUAAAGGAGAUACAUGGCUACCUAGUCAGAGGGAAGAGCAAGGGAAAGGGGGGGGGAGAGUAGGAAACAGCAAAAGUGUAAGAGAGAGCAGGAGAGAGGUGGUGAAGUGCCAGGAUAUAUUUACAAGUAGCAAAUAUUAGAGCAUAGAUGUGAUGGUACAGUAAAGAAAAGCGAGAUACGAAGGUCAUAAUAUGCACGGUCAAGU